rnacentral:rRNA from 1 species
GCGGUAACAUUUCUAGCUUGCUACCNNCUGUCGAGAGGCGGACGGGUGAGUAACGCGUAUGAAUCUACCCCGUUGUGGGGGACAACCCGUGGAAACGCUGGUUAAUACCGCAUACGCCCUACGGGGGAAAGCAGGGGAUCUUCGGACCUUGCGCUAUUCGAUGAGCCUGCGUGAGAUUAUCUUGUUGGUGAGGUAAUGGCUCACCAAGGCGACAAUAUCUCUCUGGUCUGAGAGGAUGAUCACCCACACUGGGACUGAGACACGGCCCACACUCCUACGGGAGGCAGCAGUGGGGAAUAUUGCACAAUGGGCGCAAGCCUGAUGCACCCCUACCGCGUGUGUGAAAAAAGCUUUCUGGUUGUAAAGCACUUUCUUUUGUGAGGAAAGGGUUGUGGUUAAUACCCGUUAUCUGUGACGUUAACUGCAAAAAAAACACCGGCUAACUCCNU